UACGUAGGGUGCAAGCGUUAAUCGGAAUUACUGGGCGUAAAGCGUGCGCAGGCGGUUAUGCAAGACAGAUGUGAAAUCCCCGGGCUCAACCUGGGAACUGCAUUUGUGACUGCAUGGCUAGAGUACGGUAGAGGGGGAUGGAAUUCCGCGUGUAGCAGUGAAAUGCGUAGAUAUGCGGAGGAACACCGAUGGCGAAGGCAAUCCCCUAGACCUGUACUGACGCUCAUGCACGAAAGCGUGGGGAGCAAACAGG
rnacentral:rRNA from 1 species